CAGUAGUCACGAGUUUGAUCAUGGCUCAGAUUGAACGCUGGCGGCAUGCCUAACACAUGCAAGUCGAACGAGACCUUCGGGUCUAGUGGCGCACGGGUGCGUAACGCGUGGGAAUCUGCCCUUGGGUUCGGAAUAACUUCGGGAAACUGAAGCUAAUACCGGAUGAUGACGUAAGUCCAAAGAUUUAUCGCCCAAGGAUGAGCCCGCGUAGGAUUAGCUAGUUGGUGAGGUAAAGGCUCACCAAGGCGACGAUCCUUAGCUGGUCUGAGAGGAUGAUCAGCCACACUGGGACUGAGACACGGCCCAGACUCCUACGGGAGGCAGCAGUGGGGAAUAUUGGACAAUGGGCGAAAGCCUGAUCCAGCAAUGCCGCGUGAGUGAUGAAGGCCUUAGGGUUGUAAAGCUCUUUUACCCGGGAUGAUAAUGACAGUACCGGGAGAAUAAGCUCCGGCUAACUCCGUG
rnacentral:rRNA from 1 species